GAGGAGUUAUCCUCCUGGGGGUGGCAGGGAGGGGAGUGGUGAGCAACGUAGUGCAGAGAAGGGAUCAGAAAUAUUGAGAAGAGGUGGCCUGGGAGAAGGAGGAAUUACAAGAGAGUGGUGAGGACAGAGCACCAGGAGUGAAGCAAACUCCUUCUACAGAUGGAGAAUCUCCAGAUUUCAUAAAUCUGGUGGACCCGGGUUGGAGGGAGAAGGAGGAGCAGGCAACAGAAGCUAAAAUGCUACACUGUCCCAGUCCAUCAGGCUUGGCUUGCUGAAAACGAAGAGGUCAGAAGGAGCUGCCCUAAUCUGCAAUAAGUCUGGCCUCACCAUGCUGUCUGGAAAGAUUCUCUCCCUGCAGGGGUCAAGUCCAACUUGGAUAAUGAAUA